ensembl:lncRNA
GGUAUAUCCAGCUCUGAGUGUUGUUUUUAAGUAUUUAAGGGGAAAUUUGUGCACGGUGAAAAUGAAGAGACUGCAGCAUUAUAAAUUCAUUUCCUCUAUUAGAAUCAGGGCCGCGCCUGCCCACUGCAGCUGUUCGGAAGGCAGGGCGGCCAGGCUGGAGGGCGCACCCCGGCAGCAGACGACCCUUUGUUUCCCCAGAGAGGAGACUUGGCCGGCCCCACACCCUUCACGGGAACUAUUUCCUCAGUGGCGCCAGGCAGUUGGGCAGGAUCAUCUGGUGCGGUUUUCAUGUGGCAAAGCAAAAAAUCCUCCGGGAUUCCAGGGUGACUUCUAAAGAUCCACUUUCAUCCGUGACCUCAAACCCUGCCUUGCACCAGGCCCCAAAGAUGAGAGGUCAUUGCGGCCUGGGCAGGAUUCACUGACCUCUGAAACCACCCUCCCUGAUCCAUCCAGCGAAAGCCGAGAGCGACUCAGAAAACAGGUGUUACAUGGCAGAUGAGAAAAAGAGGACAAGAUGAGUGCCUUUUCCAAUACAGUAGAAUAACUUCUGUCUCUCCUUACAUUGUCUGCUUCCUGACCAGCCAGCGAGCUGCUGGAAGCUCCAGCAGGUGAGCAGCACCCAGUUGAAAAUUCUGGAGGCUUCCCUGGUGGCCCCGUGGGUAAGAAUCCACCUGCCAAUGCAGAGGACACGGGUUUGAUCCCUGAUCCAGGAAGAUCCCAUGUAUCAUGGAGCAACUAAGCCCAUGCACCACAACUACUGAGCCUGCACGCUAGGGCCAGGGAGCCACAACUACUGAGCCUGUGAACCACAGCUACUGAAGCCCACAUGCCGAGAGCCUGCGUUCCACAAUAAGAGAUGCCGCUGCAAUGAGAAGCCUGUACACAGCAACAAAGAGUGGCCCCUGUUCGCGGCAAAUAGAGAAAGCCCAUGCACAGUAAGGAAGACCUAGUACAACCAAAAAUAAUAAAUAAUUUUUUUAAUGUAAUGUGGCUGAAGAAAUAAAGGCUCCAGAUGAAUGCUGCAGGUUGGUUGUGCAAGUAGAUUGUAGAAAUUCUAGUCCAGGUAGGAGGCUUUGGAGGUCUCAUCUCUACCACGGUUUCCUGAAUCAUGAGGCAGCAUGAGACAGACCUCAUUUUAUUGUGCUUUACAUUAUUGCGCUUUGCAAAUACUGAGGUUUCUACAAAUCAAAGGUUUGUGGAAACCCUGUGUUGUUAGAUGAUGGUUAGCAUUUGUAACAAUAAACUUUUAAAAUUAAGGUAUAUACUUCUUUUUAGACAUAUGCUAUUGUAUACUUAAUAGACUAUAAUAUAGUGUAAAUCUAACUUUUAUAUGUACUGGGAAAAAAUUCAUGUGACUUGCUUUAUUGCAGUAGUCACUUUAUUGAGGUGGUCUGGAACUGAACUCACAAAUCUCUGAUGUAUGCCUAUUUCAGACACUCUUUAUCCAUUUCUGCAAGCAACCAAGCAUAAUACAGAAAGCCCAAGACACCUUUAUGCAGAUAAUGAGCAUAAGGCAUGAGUCUGGUGUUAAUGAAUAAGAGAAAGGCUUACGCUUAGGGAAACAUUCCUCCUGUUCUUCCUCCUCUUCUUUCCCAAGCUUCCCAAUGCUGUCCGUUGGCCCCACACUAUUUCUUGCAGCCCUCCUUCACCCCAGCCAACAAUACUUCCAGCAGCCUCACCACUCUCCUUCAUGC